AGAGUUUGAUCAUGGCUCAGAUUGAACGCUGGCGGCAGGCCUAACACAUGCAAGUCGAGCGGUAGCACAGAGAGCUUGCUCUCGGGUGACGAGCGGCGGACGGGUGAGUAAUGUCUGGGAAACUGCCUGAUGGAGGGGGAUAACUACUGGAAACGGUAGCUAAUACCGCAUAACGUCGCAAGACCAAAGUGGGGGACCUUCGGGCCUCAUGCCAUCAGAUGUGCCCAGAUGGGAUUAGCUAGUAGGUGGGGUAACGGCUCACCUAGGCGACGAUCCCUAGCUGGUCUGAGAGGAUGACCAGCCACACUGGAACUGAGACACGGUCCAGACUCCUACGGGAGGCAGCAGUGGGGAAUAUUGCACAAUGGGCGCAAGCCUGAUGCAGCCAUGCCGCGUGUGUGAAGAAGGCCUUCGGGUUGUAAAGCACUUUCAGCGGGGAGGAAGGCGUUAAGGUUAAUAACCUUGGCGAUUGACGUUACCCGCAGAAGAAGCACCGGCUAACUCCGUGCCAGCAGCCGCGGUAAUACGGAGGGUGCAAGCGUUAAUCGGAAUUACUGGGCGUAAAGCGCACGCAGGCGGUCUGUCAAGUCGGAUGUGAAAUCCCCGGGCUCAACCUGGGAACUGCAUUCGAAACUGGCAGGCUAGAGUCUUGUAGAGGGGGGUAGAAUUCCAGGUGUAGCGGUGAAAUGCGUAGAGAUCUGGAGGAAUACCGGUGGCGAAGGCGGCCCCCUGGACAAAGACUGACGCUCAGGUGCGAAAGCGUGGGGAGCAAACAGGAUUAGAUACCCUGGUAGUCCACGCCGUAAACGAUGUCGAUUUGGAGGUUGUGCCCUUGAGGCGUGGCUUCCGGAGCUAACGCGUUAAAUCGACCGCCUGGGGAGUACGGCCGCAAGGUUAAAACUCAAAUGAAUUGACGGGGGCCCGCACAAGCGGUGGAGCAUGUGGUUUAAUUCGAUGCAACGCGAAGAACCUUACCUGGCCUUGACAUCCACAGAACUUUCCAGAGAUGGAUUGGUGCCUUCGGGAACUGUGAGACAGGUGCUGCAUGGCUGUCGUCAGCUCGUGUUGUGAAAUGUUGGGUUAAGUCCCGCAACGAGCGCAACCCUUAUCCUUUGUUGCCAGCGGUCCGGCCGGGAACUCAAAGGAGACUGCCAGUGAUAAACUGGAGGAAGGUGGGGAUGACGUCAAGUCAUCAUGGCCCUUACGACCAGGGCUACACACGUGCUACAAUGGCAUAUACAAAGAGAAGCGACCUCGCGAGAGCAAGCGGACCUCAUAAAGUAUGUCGUAGUCCGGAUUGGAGUCUGCAACUCGACUCCAUGAAGUCGGGAAUCGCUAGUAAU
rnacentral:rRNA from 1 species